rnacentral:rRNA from 1 species
GAUGAACGCUGGCGGCGUGCUUAACACAUGCAAGUCGAACGGAAAGGCCAGUGCUUGCACUGGUACUCGAGUGGCGAACGGGUGAGUAACACGUGGGUGAUCUGCCCUGCACUUCGGGAUAAGCCUGGGAAACUGGGUCUAAUACCGGAUAGGACAAUGGUUUGGAUGCCGUUGUGGAAAGUUUUUUCGGUGUGGGAUGAGCUCGCGGCCUAUCAGCUUGUUGGUGGGGUAAUGGCCUACCAAGGCGUCGCCGGGUAGCCGGCCUGAGAGGGUGUACGGCCACAUUGGGACUGAGGUACGGCCCAGAUUCCUACGGGAGGCAGCAGUGGGGAAUAUUGCACAAUGGGCGCAAGCCUGAUGCAGCGACGCGGCGUGGGGGAUGACGGCCUUCGGGUUGUAAACUCCUUUCGCUAGGGACGAAGCGUAUUUGUGACGGUACCUGGAGAAGAAGCACCGGCUAACUACGUG